CACUGAGUUGUGCCUCCAGAGCAGCAGUGGGUCCUUUGUCAGUUUGGACUACAGGCAGCUCACAGCAGGCAAAUAUUUGGAAUCACCUUGAGUACCCAGAACCGUGUAGAUUAAGAAUGAGGCUGAUGGAGAAGAUGUGUGAGUGGCACAGAAACAAUCGAAGAUCUAGUUUGAAAAAAGGCCAAAACUGUCAGUCUGGCUGCUUCCCCUGAACACCACUAGAUGCCGCCGGUACCGCAGAGCCAGGAGCAGAACAGGUGUUUCUCAUCCCGUUUAAGAGAGCGGAUUGCCAGCACUUCUACGCCUGAGUGUUUUGCCUACUUGGUACUGGAACCAAGCCAUGGACCUUCAGGAGGAUCCAGAACGAACUCUUGCCAUAAUCCAUUUCCGGACUCUAAAUCAGUCGGCAGUCCGCUCUCGCACUUUAGGCUCUAAGUGAGACCCUGUCCUUCCUCCAGCUGUGAUCUAAGGAAUCAGCAAGCGCGGCCGGAUCCUGAGCCCCUCUAUCUUCCAGACUCGCCUUUUCUCUCUCCCUGGCGGUUCUAAAUAAUCUAAAAUGCCUGUUCCCAGUGCUCGGGUCUUCCUCCUCCUUUUUAAAUAAACCUCACCAAAACAG